rnacentral:rRNA from 1 species
GAUGAACGCUGGCGGCGUGCCUAAUACAUGCAAGUCGAGCGAACAGACGAUGAGCUUUCUCCUCUGACGUUAGCGGCGGACGGGUGAGUAACACGUGGAUAACCUACCUAUAAUACUUGGAUAACUUCGGGAAACCGGAGCUAAUACCGGAUAAUAUAUUGAACCGCAUGGUUCAAUAGUUAAAGACGGUUUUGCUGUCACUUAUAGAUGGAUCCGCGCCGCAUUAGCUAGUUGGUAAGGUAAAGGCUUACCAAGGCGACGAUGCGUAGCCGACCUGAGAGGGUGAUCGGCCACACUGGAACUGAGACACGGUCCAGACUCCUACGGGAGGCAGCAGUAGGGAAUCUUCCGCAAUGGGCGAAAGCCUGACGGAGCAACGCCGCGUGAGUGAUGAAGGUCUUCGGAUCGUAAAACUCUGUUAUUAGGGAAGAACAAAUGUGUAAGUAACUAUGCACGUCUUGACGGUACCUAAUCAGAAAGCCACGGCUAACUACGUG